rnacentral:rRNA from 1 species
CCUACGGGAGGCAGCAGUUAGGAAUAUUGGGCAAUGGAGGAAACUCUGACCCAGCAACGCCGCGUGAAGGAAGAAGGUUUUCGGAUUGUAAACUUCUGAUCUAGGGGAAAAAGAAAGUGAUGGUACCCUAGGAGAAAGCCACGGCUAACUACGUGCCAGCAGCCGCGGUAAUACGUAGGUGGCAAGCGUUGUCCGGAAUGACUGGGCGUAAAGGGAGCGUAGGUUGUUGUUUAAGUUAAAUGUGAAAGCCCGUGGCUCAACUACGGAACUGCAUUUAAUACUGGACAACUAGAGUGCAGGAGGGGUAAGCGGAAUUCCUAGUGUAGCGGUGGAAUGCGUAGAUAUUAGGAAGAACACCAGAGGCGAAGGCGGCUUACUGGACUGUAACUGACACUGAGGCUCGAAAGCGUGGGGAGCAAACAGGAUUAGAUA